rnacentral:rRNA from 1 species
UACGGGGGGGGGCAAGCGUUGUUCGGAAUUACUGGGCGUAAAGGGCUCGUAGGCGGCCAACUAAGUCAUGCGUGAAAUCCCUCGGCUUAACCGGGGAACUGCGUCUGAUACUGGAUGGCUUGAGUUCGGGAGAGGGAUGCGGAAUUCCAGGUGUAGCGGUGAAAUGCGUAGAUAUCUGGAGGAACACCGGUGGCGAAGGCGGCAUCCUGGACCGAUACUGACGCUGAGGAGCGAAAGCUAGGGGAGCAAACGGGG